rnacentral:rRNA from 1 species
AUUAAGCCAUGCAUGUUUCAGUGCAAACCAAACUAAGGUGAAACCGCAAAUGGCUCAUUAAAUCAGUUAUUAUUUAUUAGAUCAUACAUUAUAUUACUUGGAUAACUGUGGCAAUUCUAGAGCUAAUACAUGCAACCAGAGUUCCUGUUUUUACAGACAGGAACGCUUUUAUUAGAUCAAAACCAAUACGUUAGUUUCGGCUAACGAUUAAAAUGGUGACUCUGAAUAACUUUUUGAUGAUCGUAUGGUCUUUGUACCAUCGACAUAUCUUUCAAAUGUCUGACUUAUCAACUGUCGAUGGUAGGCUUUACGCCUACCAUGGUUGUAACGGGUAACGGGGAAUCAGGGUUCGAUUCCGGAGAGGGAGCCUGAGAAACGGCUACCACAUCCAAGGAAGGCAGCAGGCGCGCAAAUUACCCACUCCCAGCUCGGGGAGGUAGUGACGAAAAAUAACGAUACGGGACUCAUCCGAGGCCCCGUAAUCGGAAUGAGCACACUUUAAAUACUUUAACAAGUAUCCAUUGGAGGGCAAGUCUGGUGCCAGCAGCUGCGGUAAUUCCAGCUCCAAUAGCGUAUAUUAAAGUUGUUGCGGUUAAAAAGCUCGUAGUUGAGAUUGUGUUUCGCACUGUUGGUGCACCAUUAUUGGUGUUUACUUACAUGUUGUGAAACGUCCUGUCGGUGAGAUUGAAUGUAACCGUUUGGGUUUGUUCUUUUUUAAAGGCAGAUUCGGCGGCUCGCAAACUCUCUCUACUCACCCAUAACGGUGCUCUUUACUGAGUGUCGUGAUGGGCCGAUACGUUUACUUUGAACAAAUUAGAGUGCUAAAAGCAGGCAUUAUGCCUGAAUAUUGUGUGCAUGGAAUAAUAGAAUAGGACCUCGGUUCUAUUUUGUUGGUUUUCUGAACCAGAGGUAAUGAUAAAGAGAAACGGACGGGGGCAUCCGUAUUGAGACGUUAGAGGUGAAAUUCUUGGAUCGUAACAAGACGAACCGAAGCGAAAGCAUUUGCCAAGAACGUUUUCAUUAAUCAAGAACGAAAGUUAGAGGUUCGAAGGCGAUCAGAUACCGCCCUAGUUCUAACCAUAAACGAUGCCAGCCAGCGAUCCGCUAAAGUUCCUCCGAUGACUUAGCGGGCAGCUUACGGGAAACCAAAGCUUUUGGGUUCCGGGGGAAGUAUGGUUGCAAAGCUGAAACUUAAAGGAAUUGACGGAAGGGCACCACCAGGAGUGGAGCCUGCGGCUUAAUUUGACUCAACACGGGAAACCUCACCAGGUCCGGACACUGGAAGGAUUGACAGAUUGAGAGCUCUUUCUUGAUUCAGUGGGUGGUGGUGCAUGGCCGUUCUUAGUUGGUGGAACGAUUUGUCUGGUUAAUUCCGAUAACGAACGAGACUCUAACCUGCUAACUAGCCGUUCCCGACAUCAUAUGCUGUCGGCGGAUAAAAAAUCUUCUUAGAGGGACAGGCGGCUUCUAGCCGCACGAGAUUGAGCAAUAACAGGUCUGUGAUGCCCUUAGAUGUCCUGGGCCGCACGCGCGCUACAAUGAAGGUAUCAACGUGUCUUCCCAGGCCGAAUGGUCCGGGUAACCCGCUGAACCACCUUCGUGCUAGGGAUUGGGGCUUGCAAUUGCUCCCCAUGAACGAGGAAUUCCCAGUAAGCGCGAGUCAUAAGCUCGCGUUGAUUACGUCCCUGCCCUUUGUACACACCGCCCGUCGCUACUACCGAUUGAAUGAUUUAGUGAGGUCUUCGGACUGGUGCGCGAUAGCGUUAUCCAUAAUGCUGCCGAUGCUACUAGAAAGAUGACCAAACUUGAUCAUUUA